rnacentral:lncRNA from 1 species
UUUAAUCAUUUAUUGUCCCAUCCAAACCUCAUUCACCCCACUUUCUUCUUCCCUCAUUUGACCACCAUUGAACCAAUCACCUUUCAUGCAAACCAAUUUUUAAUCUUAUUCUUUCUUUUACUUUACAUGGUAGGGGUCCCACAUGUCUCUCACUAACUUUUCCUUUUUGCAUGCUAUGGUUGCAUUUAAUACUAACUUUUACAUGUACAUCACAUUUUCCACUUAGUCUAACCUUCCUUGGUUAGCAAAUUCCCCUUUUUAACUCUAAAUAUUGAAAUUACAAAUGAGUCCUCAAACUUUUUCUUAUUUACCAUGCGACCCCUCCAACUUUCAUCCUUUAUAAUUGGGCCAUUCCAACAUUUCUUAUGUCAUGACCCGAUACUCCCCUCGAGCCCGUGACAACCGUCGCGGCUUCCUGAUAGACAUUCAUUGCCCAAAAUGCCAACCAAAACCUCGCAAGGCUUUAAUAUCAGCUUUCGCACCUCCCUUGUGAGCAACAGCUGUUAAGUAUCAUGUUUUGAGAGAUUAUAAACUAUUUCCAAAUCAAAACAAUAGAAAAAUAAUUUUUUUUCUGACGGGCAUUUUGGUCAUUUUUUCUCAAAACUCUCGAAACUAGCUAAAAAUGUAGUAUGCGAGUGGAAAACACAUAUUUCAUAAUAAAAAUAAGUUUAGAUGUCUAAUACAUACAUUUAAAGUGAAACUAUACUUAUUUGAAUAUAAUAAAAAUAUUCAAUAAAAUAUUUUAUUUUCUUAUAAAACAAUAUUUAUAGAGUUACCGGUAAAUAAUUUUUGUAGCGUAAAAGCUAAAUAAAUUCAUACAUACUGUAAUACAGAUAACCAAAGCAUAAGAUUUUAUUUACAGUGACACGUGGACCGACGAACGACCAAAAGUAUCAAAAGCGAUAAACCUACAGUUUUUGAGGAUGCAAGUCCAACUGUAGCCCUCAACGAAAUGAGCUAUCUACCGACUAUCCUAAGUCUGAAAGGGGUGGAAAGGAGGGUGGUGAGAUUAUAUAAUCCCAGUGAGUAAACAAAUAUCAUCUAAAAUAUCUAAAGCCAAGUAAAUGGAGACAGACAAAAUAGAUUAGCAUAAAAAUGAUUCACAUCAUUUCGAACUCAUUUUAAUAAGAUAAAAUAGAUUCAUUUCAUCCAAAUAAACAACGAGGCUUAUGAUUUCCUGAAAAGCUUGGCUGGUGCCAAAAUCAUUCUCAUACUCAAUUAUCAGGGAUACCUUGGCCUAAGGCUAUCCUAAUCGAGUCCGCCAAGGCUGUUAAAAAGUUAUGUACGCAUAAAUCAUGUUUUUAUUUUGAAAACAUAGCCAUUCCUUGACGUUGGCUGAGUUCACCCUCAUGUGGUAGUUUGGAGUGAAGGUUGUACCUCAGGAGUUACCCUACGCACCUCCCCAAUCGAGGUAAGAAUAUAACAGGAUUACGUGCCCCUCAAAAAGGUUGGUCCACAAAACCCGCCCACUGCAACAAGUUAAACCCACCAUACAAUAAAAUUUGCAAUAGCAUGACAUAGAAAUUAUUUUAUUUUACAGCCUCUCAAGGAAAAUCAAUAGUUCAUACAUUUUCAGCACAUUUACCAAUUCAACCAUUCAUGCCAAUAUUAUCAUAAGCCAUUCAAUUCAAACCAUGAUUUAUAACACAGCAAUUAGUGUCCAAUUACUUCAUUUUCAAAACCAUCUUUCAAUUUCAAGACAAUUUUAUAAAAUCAUUUCAUUUAAUCACAUUUUUGCUUAUAAAACAUAAAGAUUUACCAUUUAAACUCAUUUUCCAUAAAAUCACAAAAAUGAAUUAAAAUUCACUUUAGAUAAUCAAGAUGAUGAUAAGGUUAUUCACUGUAUCAGGAGUUUGAAAUACUUCUAUUCUCAGUCCUCUGACACAACGUCUUUACCCUUGUUAGAGAGCUCACCACCUAUAUACAAUACACGACACAUAAUUCAAUAUAUUGUGUCAUACCAUUAUAAAUCUAUUUCAGACUCUUUACUAAUGCAUGAAAUGGGAUGUGAAAUGCUCGAGUAACCAUCUAAAUACGGUGUUCAAUAUAAGUUCAAUUGUGUACCUAACUAAAAUGGUAUCGGCCUAAUUCGAUCUAUCACCCGAUUAAUUGGCCAAUACGUCCAAUUCAACUCCAAAUAAUUUCAUUUUUCUCCCAAUACUCCAAAUCAUCAAACAUAAGUCAAAUAGCAUAAAAUUUAGCAAAAAUCAUCUUCACAUUUUCUCUUGGGAAUUUCGGCCAUGGUGGGUGCAUCAAUACUAUGAUUUUUCCUACUUGAUUUUCUCACCGUAAUUCAUCAUUUCCUAACCAAUUCACUUGAAAUAAAAUCAAAAUCAUCAUCAAUAUUCUACAUGGAGAAUUCGGCCAAUGAGGGUUAUGGAAGAACAUGAAUUUUUCUUGCUUGAUUUUCAUGCUACACAUCACCAAUCAACUAAAAACACUAGAAUAUCUUAAAAUCUAACCAAAACAAUCAUCAAAAUCUCUCUCUAAGUGUUCAGCCAGCAAAAUACCCAUCAUGAAAUCAUGUGAUUCAACCAUGAAAAAUGCAAAAGAAUGUAUGGGAAAGGUAGAUCACAAGUCAAAAUCAAGAAAUUUUACCUUUGAUUGCUUGAUACUUGAAAUCCACGAAUUUUCUCUUGAAUUUUCACUCUAGGGUUUUUGUUCUUUCUUUUCUUCCUUUGUUCGUGCUUUGGCCGGC